rnacentral:misc_RNA from 1 species
UCUCCGUAGGUGAACCUGCGGAGGGAUCAUUACAGAGUUCUCGCCCUCGCGGGUAGAUCUCCCACCUACUGUUAUCGUUACUGUGUUGCUUUGGCGGGCCGCCGGGCCCCGCUCGGCCGCCGGCUCCGGCUGGCGCGCGCCCGCCAGAGGCCCAGCAAACUCUGAAUGUUAGUGUCGUCUGAGUACUAUAUAAUAGUUAAAACUUUCAACAACGGAUCUCUUGGUUCUG